rnacentral:lncRNA from 1 species
AUCGAUUUUCUUGGGAGUGCUAGCUCGCAUGAAGACCUUCUUCUUAACUGAUCUGGAUUCUUUCUUCAAAUCUCUGAAACUUUUAUAGAGAUUGAAGAUGAACUUCUAGAGAAAAUGAAAAGGUGAAAGAUAGAGAGAAAAUAAUUUUUCUCUUAUUUUUUCUCUCUUCCCAAACCCUGAUGACCAAAACCCUAGAAACCUGAUUUUGGUGCACACCCCAAGAGAAGAGGACUCUUCUCUUCUUUCACGUCAUAAAACCACACCCAAGA